UCCAAUCCAUUUUGCUACGCACACUUAAGAUGGCGGCUACGUGAAAACAGCUGAUCGGUUCUGUGGGCCGCUCUUGGUGUAUUUUUGUCCGUAACGCUGCCUGAUGAGAUGAAAUCUCGGCGUACGAGGUACUUUCGCCUGAGAAGAAUUCUGGAAGCUGUGAACAUCAUGAAGACUGUGAAAGCGUAGUGCUCGGAUACGGAAGAAUCGAUGAAGGUUGGAAGGCAUCUCAACAGAUAGCUGGUAAGUAAACAUUUUCUAUAAACGAUCGCAACUAUCUCCGAAUGUAGGUCAUGUUUUAAAUCGAAGGUGGUCUGUAACAGAGGCUCAUUUUUUUUUUCUCUGCGACACACUGCUGCGCAGUGGUACAUUCCUCCGUGCGGGCGGUACAGAUACUCCGCCAACAGCCGCUGGAGGAUGCGGCCUGCAGGGCAGCCGCCGAGUAUGCGCGGCAGGGGCAGGGGCAGCUGGCUGAGGCAGCGAACGCGGAGGCCGCCAGUUUCCACCAGCUGCUGCUGCAGCAAAAUAGGCAGCAUCAUCAGCAGCUGGUGGAGGAGCUGAGGGCGGCCCGGGUGGUGCAGCAGCAGCUGGCAGCAGAGAUGCGUGGUUUGAGAGAGGCCACCGGCCUCAUCGCGACAACACUGCGCCAGCUCCUGGCUCGCCUCUGCGAGCAUCCUCAGCCAUGAGGGACAGUCCCCCCCC